rnacentral:rRNA from 1 species
UGGCGGCGUGCUUAACACAUGCAAGUCGAACGGUAAGGCCCCUUCGGGGGUACACGAGUGGCGAACGGGUGAGUAACACGUGGGUGACCUGCCCUGUACUUCGGGAUAAGCCUGGGAAACUGGGUCUAAUACCGGAUAUGACCUUCCCCUGCAUGGGGGUUGGUGGAAAGCUUUUGCGGUACAGGAUGGGCCCGCGGCCUAUCAGCUUGUUGGUGGGGUAAUGGCCUACCAAGGCGACGACGGGUAGCCGGCCUGAGAGGGCGACCGGCCACACUGGGACUGAGACACGGCCCAGACUCCUACGGGAGGCAGCAGUGGGGAAUAUUGCACAAUGGGCGAAAGCCUGAUGCAGCGACGCCGCGUGAGGGAUGACGGCCUUCGGGUUGUAAACCUCUUUCAGUAGGGACGAAGCGCAAGUGACGGUACCUACAGAAGAAGCACCGGCCAACUACGUGCCAGCAGCCGCGGUAAUACGUAGGGUGCGAGCGUUGUCCGGAUUUACUGGGCGUAAAGAGCUCGUAGGCGGUUUGUCACGUCGUCUGUGAAAACCCGAGGCUUAACCUCGGGCCUGCAGGCGAUACGGGCAGACUUGAGUACUGUAGGGGAGACUGGAAUUCCUGGUGUAGCGGUGGAAUGCGCAGAUAUCAGGAGGAACACCGGUGGCGAAGGCGGGUCUCUGGGCAGUAACUGACGCUGAGGAGCGAAAGCGUGGGUAGCGAACAGGAUUAGAUACCCUGGUAGUCCACGCCGUAAACGGUGGGUACUAGGUGUGGGUUUCCUUCCACGGGAUCCGUGCCGUAGCUAACGCA